rnacentral:lncRNA from 1 species
CUGCUCUGAAGGUCGGCCCUGCUGUGCCCUCUGGAGGUCGCCUCUACGCUGCUCUGGAGGUCCUCUGGAGCCCUGCUCUGCUCUGGAAAACUCCUAUGCUCUGGAGGCCUCCUCUGCUCUGGAGGACAGCUCUGCUCUAGAGGACUUCUCUGCCCUGGAAGUCUGCUCUGCUCUGGAGGACAGCUCUGCUCGGGAGGUGAUGUUUCUCCGCUGCUCUGCUCUGGAGAUUACACGCUGAUGUUGG